rnacentral:tRNA from 1 species
UAAGGGAGACCUACCCGCUCUGAAGUCGAAAGCAAAAAGCAAAUAGAUUGAAGAGAAGGUCAACCCAAGGUCGUUCGGGGGAUAGGUGAGAGUUACUUCUAGACUAUAAACAGGUUCGGUUCAUGGGCUAUUAGCUCAGGUGGUUAGAGCGCACCCCUGAUAAGGGUGAGGUCCCUGGUUCGAGUCCAGGAUGGCCCACCUUGGAGAGAGCGGGGGUUUAGCUCAGUUGGUAGAGCGCCUGCUUUGCAAGCAGGAUGUCAACGGUUCGAGCCCGUUAACCUCCACUAAUUUUUCCACUCAUUUUUUGAUUUGUUAGUUAGAGGGAUUUUCAGCAACUUAUCUUGUUUAGAUAGAGCAAGAGAGCCUGCUGAAGGUGACUUCAGAGAGAACCUUGAAAACUGCAUAGAAACUUGUCAGGUAGAAGAUAAGUUGUUUAGCGACGACUUAUUGAAAAUCACAGACACCAAUGUAAGAGAGACGCGAAAAAGU